UACAGAGGGUGCAAGCGUUAAUCGGAAUUACUGGGCGUAAAGCGCGCGUAGGCGGCUGCCUAAGUCGGAUGUGAAAGCCCCGGGCUUAACCUGGGAACUGCAUUCGAUACUGGGCGGCUAGAGUAUGAGAGAGGGAGGUAGAAUUCCACGUGUAGCGGUGAAAUGCGUAGAUAUGUGGAGGAAUACCGGUGGCGAAGGCGGCCUCCUGGCUUAAUACUGACGCUGAGGUGCGAAAGCGUGGGGAGCAAACAGG
rnacentral:rRNA from 1 species